AGGACAAGCUGGCACGGCACCUCGCGGGCCCCGGGGGCUCUUGACGUUUUCGCGGCGGUCGCUCGCGGGCCGGCGGACGGGUCCGUGGCCAGUCUCGAAUAACUGCUGGUGUGCGCGGUGUGGCUGCCGGGGCUCGCGCGUGGCCCGUGGACUGCAUGGUUCUGUGAGCCGGGCUCGGGGAGCGGCGUGAGGUGGACGGUUCCCACGCUCGGUUUCCACCUGUUGGUCGUCGAUAGAGAAUUCCGUACCGUAAUGUCAACAACUCGCUCGCAGCCGCAGUCUGGGCCCAAUGGGAAUAAGGCGUCGCAAUCGCCGCCGCCUUCCCCGCUGAAGAUGUCCGAGAUAAAACCGGAAUUUAUUGCAAGAUCAGUUCGAAAACAUGCUGGAAGGGCGAAAGAAAGGAUCCUCCAGAACCUCGGUAAGGCUGACCGGACCACAGAUGAAGUGUUCGAUGACUACGUCCACAACUUCGGCCGGCAACAGGGCCAGGCCAACCGGCUCCAGAAGGAGAUGGCCAACUACGUCCGCUGUGCGAAAGCGAUGCAGGCGGCCAACAAAUCCCUGAUGGACACCAUAUACGACAUGUACGAGCCAGAGUGGUCGGACCGAGACCGACUGGAGCGGCAGGCGCGUGAGCUCGAGCUGCUCUGGGCCGACUACUGUCACAAACUGUCCGACCAGGUGCUCGAGCCGCUCAACACCUACAGCUCACAGUUCCCAGAAGUGCGGAGGAAAGUCGAGAAGCGCGGCCGGAAGCUGGUUGACUACGACAGCCACCGGCACAACUACGAGGCGCUGCAGAACAACACCAAGAAGCGCGACCAGACCAAGAUUGCCAAGCAGCACGAGGUGCUGGAGGAGGCGCGGCGCACCUUCGAGGUCAUGAACAACGAGCUGUACGACGAGCUGCCGGCGCUCUACGACUCGAGGAUACCAUUCUUGGUGUCGAACAUGCAAACGCUGUUCAUGGCAGAGAAUAACUUCCACACGGAGGCGGCCAAGGUAUCGGAGCAUGUACAGUUGGAGCUCGAGUCUGUGAUGGAUGCACUACAGAAGGACUCCAACACGGGCAAGUAUACGACCCGGCGCAACGUUCCCAAGUCGCCCAAAUCGCCGACGGCGCCGACGCCCGCCUCGCCCACCGGUCAGGACGACGUACGGCUGGUGCGGCCUGGCGCCAGCUCGGCCGGCGGCUCCGGCGGCUCGGCGGGGAUCCGGCAGACGCUGACGGCGCUCACCAAGCGGCUCUCUGUGCGGCAUCAGGAGCGGCCGCCGGUGCGGCCCACCGUGGCGCGCGCCGCCACCUUCCACGUGUCGUCACCGUCAGCGCCGCACGAGCCGGGCGCGGCGGACGGCGGGGACGGCACCGGACCGGACACGAACCCGUUCCGUCAGCCGGCGGCCGGCGCGUCACCGCACCGCCAGCGGCGCCGGCACAAUCCCUUCCUGGAGAGUCCGCGGCCGGGCGCGCCCACGCCGCCGCCGCCGCCGAUCCCCUCCUCACCGCCGCCGCCCUACGACAGUGGCGAGCAGAUCCUCGAGGUGUCGCCCGCGCCGCCCCCGCCGCCGCAUGCCGCGCUGACCGAGGCCGCUCGUUCCAGCGAAGGUGACUCGUCCGGCGCCGAGCAGGCGUCGCCCUCUCCGGCGGCCGCGGAGGCGGACCGCUCGUCCGGUGAGGUAGCGGCCAGCGCUCGCUCCUCUGCUGACGGGCCGGCGCUCGGCACGCAGACCGAGCCGCCGCCCAAGCCGCCGCGCACACCCGAGGCGGGCGAGGAGCCGGCCGAGCGGUCGGCGCCGGUGGCCGAGCCCGAGCCGUCCACGGUAUCAGGAGUGUACCCCUCCCUCCCCAGCGUGCCGGAGACGGACGCCUCGCCGCCGGCCGCCCGCGCUGGAGGCUCGCCAGCGGCUGACGCGGACGGCUCUCUUGACAGGAACAAGUCAAACAGGGAGGACCCGCGACCCUACGAGGAGAUCUCCUAUAAGAAGGAGAACGGCGACUUCAACGGAGACGUGCCGUCCGGGGCCACCACGGAUAACCUGCCGCCGGGAGUGCUGUACCGGGUGAAGGCCGCCUACAAGUACCAGGCCGAGGACGCCGACGAGCUCAGUUUCGAGGUGGCCGAGUGUAUUCAGGUGGUGGAGUAUGACGAUCAGGAGGAACAGGAGGAGGGCUGGCUGAUGGGGGUGAAGGAGUCCACCGGUCAGAAGGGUCUGUUCCCCGCCAACUUCACCCGCCCCAUCUAACGGGAGUGCCGCGUGCCACCAGCAGUGCCUCGACUCGCCGCCGCAGUGCCGCGGCGCUAGUGUCGCCCCGCGCCGCCGCGCCGGCUGCGCUGAACGAUAGGUCACAGACGAGACAAUCCGCCGAGCCGCCGCCGCCGGCUCUGUGAGCGAACAGUGUGCAGACAGCUCGCCGCGCCGCGCCCGCUGCGCUCUCCUGACCCGAUCUGACCCGACCUGACCUCUGUCCGACUGAGCGGCUGCUGACGAGGGCCGCCCGUCUUGGGCGUGCCGAGUGUGAUGUGUGUGCGACUGCCUCCCGCGACUAAACGAAAGACAGGCGGGGGACGGUGGCUGCUGCGUCUUCCAAGCCAAACUGACCGCGUAGUCGCCCUUAGCUACGGCUCGGCAGUAGGCGUAGGACCCACUCACAAUCACGCAUGCGGCGCCGCGAGGCCCUAGCAUCGUUACGGGAGCCGCGGAGUUCGGCCCAGCCUUGUUACGAUUUUCGCCCAGGGCAGCGAGCCGCUAAUCAGAUGGUCGUACCGCGCCGCGUCGCCCUUUUGCAGGUAACUUUAUAUUAUGUAGCGUAGUGCGUUGAAGCGUGAUCCGCCUUGAAACUAACGUGCUCAACAGGGGAGAGAACGGAAUGCGAGCGUGGACCGGUCGGCUAGUGGCCGUGUCCUGUGUGUAUGUGUGUGUGAGCGUCCCCGCCAUGUCUGUACAUACUACAUAGGAAGUGUGCAAACCGCUCUGUUGUGGGCCCCGCCGCGCCGCCACCGCCCGGUCGGCCGUUCGCUGUCGGGCGUGGCGUGUGUGAUCUGGAUUGUUGCUUCUUUUAUACGCUGCGGCGGUGGCGGAGGCCAGCUCGGGGCGGCCCCAUCGCGGCCGGCGUGGAGACCGGGCCCGGCCAAUAAACCAACCUGUGAAUACC
rnacentral:misc_RNA from 1 species